UCCGUAGGCGGUGCGGCAAGUCGGAAGUGAAAUCUCUGGGCUUAACUCAGAGGCUGCUCCCGAAACUGCCGUGCUCGAGUGCGAGAGAGGCGAGUGGAAUUGCGGGUGUAGCGGUGAAAUGCGUAGAUAUCCGCAGGAACAUCCGAGGCGAAAGCGGCUCGCUGGAUCGCAACUGACGCUGAGGGACGAAAGCUAGGGGAGCAAACAGGAUUAGAUACCCUGGUAGUCCUAGCCCUAAACCAUCAGGACUUGGGGUUUGCCCUGUACGGGGCAAGUCCCGGAGCUAACGCGUUAAGUCCUGCGCCUGGGGAGUACGGUCGCAAGGCUGAA
rnacentral:rRNA from 1 species